rnacentral:rRNA from 1 species
CGUAGGGUGCAAGCGUUAAUCGGAAUUACUGGGCGUAAAGCGUGCGCAGGCGGUUGUGCAAGACCGAUGUGAAAUCCCCGGGCGUUAACCUAGGGAAGUGGCAUUGGUUGGACUGCACGGCUAGAGUGUGUCAGAGGGGGUAGGAAUUCCACGUGUAGCAGUGAAAUAGCGUAGAGAUGUGGAGGAAUACCGAUGGCGAAGGCAGCCCCCUCGGGAGUAACACUGACGCUCAUGCACGAAAGCGUGGGAGCAAACAGGAUU